rnacentral:rRNA from 1 species
AUUGAACGCUGGCGGCAGGCCUAACACAUGCAAGUCGAGCGGAUGAGAGGAGCUUGCUUCUCGAUUCAGCGGCGGACGGGUGAGUAAUGCCUAGGAAUCUGCCUGGUAGUGGGGGACAACGUUUCGAAAGGAACGCUAAUACCGCAUACGUCCUACGGGAGAAACCAGGGGACCUUCGGGCCUUGCGCUCACAGAUGACCCUGGGUCGGAUUAGCUAGUUGGUGAGGUAAUGGCUCACCAAGGGGACGAUCCGUAACUGGUCUGAGAGCAUGAUCAGUCACACUGGAACUGAGACACGGUCCAGAGUCCUACGGGAGGCAGCAGUGGGGAAUAUUGGACAAUGGGCGAAAGCCUGAUCCAGCCAUGCCGCGUGUGUGAAGAAGGUCUUCGGAUUGUAAAGCACUUUAAGUUGGGAGGAAGGAUUGUAGAUUAAUACUCUGCAAUUUUGACGUUACCGACAGAAUAAGCACCGGCUAACUCUGUGCCAGCAGCCGCCGUAACAC